UGCGACCUUACUGAGGGAGGGUUGCGUGUUGGCCUCCUAGAAAAUUUGCUCAGAGUUAAGGCCAGCUGGUGGAAAUCUAGUACAUAAAAUUGAAACCUUUUAAUUCCCGCCAAAUCUCCUGACGAAGUGUUCCGGCAGGCGUCCCGCGUCAGGGACGGGGAGAGAUGGCAGAUGCUAGUGAGUGACCUCUGCUGCGUCACGCCUCCAGUCGAGUGUCACAAUUCAGGAAGGCAAGGAAGAACUAAGAAAUCUGGCUAAUUCUCACUAAAACUCUCUUUUUUAUCUGAUACGUGACAGAAAAGUAGAUCAUAUUGUGAGUAAGGGAAAGUUAAUAGAAUUGAUAUUGAAAAGAUCGUCACACAGUCGCGGAAAGCAAGAAAGAACUAAGAAAUAUGGUUGACUUUCAUUAAAAUUUUUUUCUUUUAUCCGAUACUUGAUAGAAAGAGAGCAAGUAGAAGGUCAAUAGACCGGCAGACAGUCAAGGAAGGCAAGAAAAUUGUAAUAGAUAACGUUGACUGUCUCCUGAAAACCCUCAUUUACGUGACAGAAAAGCAGGGAGCGUUACAUUGUGUGUGAGGGAAAGUUAGUCGUUAAAGCAAAAAAAUAGGUGAAGAGAUUGGCAGUAGAAGAGAGUGAGAGGAGAGCCAGAGUAAAGUUAGUUACAGGGUGCAUUGGUGGAAAGGGAAGGUGAAGAGGGUCGUGAGUGCGCGGCAGAGAUGCCAGGCAACACCUGUGGCGGCGGCACACCUGCGCGGGUCAGGUUUACACCUUGCUAAGGGCAACACGGAGGGCUGCGCGUGACGAGGCAAGCGGCAGGUGUCUGAUGGGUUUUGGUGUGUUUCAGGGCAGCGGCGCAGGGGUGAGUGGUAGGGCCGGGGACAGGUGACAAUGGUGAGGUGUGGGCGCGGCGCUCCCCAGUGACGGUGACCGAUGGGGAAGACGGAGGUGCGAGCCAAGGACGUGCCCACCGCCAUCUUCAUAAAGUCCCUGCGUGACCACCAGGCGCCCUCCGCCCCCCAGUGCCACCACACCCCCGCCAGGACGCCAGGCAUGUGCGAGGGCCACAGGAGGCACCGCGCCUCCACCAGCACCCCUAACCUGGCACCCACGAGGACCAGUGCCACUAACGGCCUGCACACCAGCACUGCCUCCUCCACUGCGCACCACAAUGGCCACCACAACCACCACCACAACAACAACAACAACAACAACAACAGCAUCAACAACAACAACAACAACUACUACAGGCUGCGCGACAAGCUGUUGGCCACGGACAAGAACACCAGGAACUUAAGUCUGUCCUCGGCGCGCUACAGGAACUACAAGGGCACCCCCAAGUGGCCCAUUGACGGCAGGAGGAAAUCAUCGUCAUCGGAUUCCGUGACAUCGGCGAGGUCUUCGGACGCGGGAGAGAGAGAGAGGGACAUGGAGGACAAGGUAAGACACACACACACACACACACACACACACACACACACACACACACACACACACACACACACACACACACACACACACAUACACACACACAUCCAUGUUCGUUCUAAUGGGAUUGUCACGAG